GGGAAGGGUGCGGCUGGCCCUGCUGCGGACUGUAGAUGCUGACCCUAGCUAGCGGGACUUCGUGCGCCUUUUCUCCAGUUUUCUUCACACCCAAGUCCCCGCGGAGCCCUGACUUGUCCCUGGACUACAACCUGGACAGAGAAGAAACUCCGGCCGGACUGGACUCCAUCGGGAGUAAGAGCAGCUUUGAACUUAAGACCAAUGGUAAUCCACGUGCCUGCCGCAACUUUAGAACCUAACACCUUCACUCAGAGGAUGCCUCUUGAUCUCUGCCAGAGUGUGGCACAGUUCGAUAAAUGCUACAGGUCUCUGGUGCUUUGCUUGCCCUGGUGACUUCCCAGAACUAAACGACUGCCACAGGGCACAUCUCUUACAGUCUCCAUGAUUUGGGACGAAUCGCCAGGCCUCCCUCUCUCUGACCAGAUAAUCUUUAAAGUGUAUAUUUGCAACGGCGUGAUAGUAUGCCAUUGUGGUCUUUAGUUAGUGUCCCCUGUAUAUACUACUAUGAAGAUUAACAAUGUGUCACUUUUAGGAAAAGCAUUGUGUCUUCCAGGACAACUGUCUCCCUGAAGAUGAUCAGUGGAACCAGUUGCAUCUGAGGGGUGGCCGGUACUCAGCAGAACUGUGAUCCAAAAAAACUGUUGAAACUGAGAGGAACUACCAUGUGAGGUGACAGCGUCUCCACAGAGUAAGACUGAAAAGAAUCCUUGCACCUCAGAGGGAAAUCUCUACAUCUAACUCUGGAUCCUGCUCCGGCAUGCUGCUGGUGUACAGCUAACAGACACACCUCUGGGCACGUCUCUGAGGCAUUGUCUGGAUUGGAAGGAAGAAGCCUCUUAACAGUGGGAGCACCAUUCAUGGGCCAGGGUCCUGGUCUGAAUAAAGAGAAGAAAGCAAGCUGAGCUCUCAUUAGUCACUCACCAGAUCCUGGCUUUGGGCCUCAAGCCCCUGCUGCCACCACUUCCCCACAGUGAUGGAAUGUCACCUUCAACUAGGAGCCAAAAUAAGACUGCUCUCCUUAAGGGGGUAAAGGCUUUGUCCCAGCCUGUGGCACUCUUGGGGAGAGGCACAGCCUUUAAGAAAUGGGCCUACUGAGAGGCCUUCAGGUCAGUGCGGUGAACCUGCAAGAGGAGAGUAGAGCCCCCAGACCCUUCCUCUUUUCCUUCCCUUCUAGCCAUGAUGUAACCAACUUUUCUCCACUCUGACCUUGAUGCACCACCCCCACAACAGAACCAGCUCUAAAAGCAUGGGUCCCCUCAACAUGGACCAGAGCCUUUAAAGCCAUGAAUUCUAAGAAGACUGCAAAUGGACUUAAAAGUACUCUAGCCACUACAUGCAAAACAGCAGGACUACACAAAAAUAGCCAACUGCAGUCUGUGGGUACUGCGAUUUCUCUCAGCCCAGGAGACCUGGCAUCUGGUUCCAGCAUUGCCCCUUCAUUUGUGUAUACUUGGGAAGCCACUGGCCUCUCUUGGAAGUCCCAGGCCUUGGCUUUGUAUACUUGCUGAGAAAUUGGCUUGACCAAAUGAUUUCCAAAUGACUCCUUUUAAACCUAAGUUGCUUUAUUUAUUUAUUUUGGUUUUUCAAAU
ensembl:lncRNA